rnacentral:lncRNA from 10 species
AAACCCUCUACCAAGGCUUGCUCCCCAGCCUGCCUCAGUAUAUGAUUGCCCUCCUGAAGAUCCUGUUGGCUGCAGCACCCACCUCAAAAGCCAAAACAGACUCAAUCAACAUCCUAGCGGACGUCUUGCCUGAGGAGAUGCCGUGAGUAUCAUUCUGUGAAUGAAGCAGGUGGGGCAGAAGAUAGAUGGAGAAGGGCAAACAUUUUCCUCUUGUCAGGUUGGUUGUUGUUGGCCCAGCUCUACAGGUUAAAUGUAGGUAUUUUUGACCCAAAAAAAGGAAACUACGAGAUUAAAGAGUUUCACUGGUUGGGGAGAUGGCUUGGUCCUGUUGGCCUGGAUUCUAGUGUAGACUCUACCACUGAGCAAACUCCUGAGUGAAUUGGGGAAAGUCAUUUCCUCCUCUGUAAAAUGAAUGGGGCCACCCUGGACAUUUCCCCAAAGCCCCACUCUCCAGCUGUGAUUGAGACACCCAGGAUGAGGAGGGUUAGUUUGUAGACAGCUUGCCAGCAACAGCUGAACCUGUGCCAGGUAUAGAGACAUCCCUUUUCGCCAGUGAUUGGGCACGCAGAAUGCUGGC